rnacentral:rRNA from 1 species
AACGAACGCUGGCGGCAUGCCUAACACAUGCAAGUCGAACGAGACCUUCGGGUCUAGUGGCGCACGGGUGCGUAACGCGUGGGAACCUGCCCUUAGGUUCGGAAUAACUCCCCGAAAGGGGUGCUAAUACCGGAUAAUGUCUUCGGACCAAAGAUUUAUCGCCUUUGGAUGGGCCCGCGUUGGAUUAGCUAGUUGGUAGGGUAAAAGCCUACCAAGGCGACGAUCCAUAGAUGGUCUGAGAGGAUGAUCAGCCACACUGGGACUGAGACACGGCCCAGACUCCUACGGGAGGCAGCAGUGGGGAAUAUUGGACAAUGGGCGAAAGCCUGAUCCAGCAAUGCCGCGUGAGUAAUGAAGGCCUUAGGGUUGUAAAGCUCUUUUACCCGGGAUGAUAAUGACAGUACCGGGAGAAUAAGCUCCGGCUAACUCCGUG